CGUAAAUGCGCCACCCACCUUGAGAUAUAAGUUGUAAGGUCUCAGUAUAGUUACAACGGCUACCCCACCCUUCAAACCGAAACGCAUUACUGCUUCACGGCAGAAACAGGUAGGGUGGUGGUACCUACCCAUGCGGACUCACAAGAGGUCCUACCAGGUGUCGUUAUUUACAUUUUUUUCUGUAAUGAUGGGAGAUCAAAAAUGGUUUUUCAACAUUCAAAAGCCCAAUUGUUAAAAGGAAAACGGUUGACAAUCAGACGAGAAAAAACAGGUCACUUUUAUCUUAGUCUUUUUUUUAUAUUUUUCUAAUGGAGGAUUUGAGGUUAGUUAGCAAAUGAUUAUCUGUGGUGAUCGUAGGUAUUAAGCAAAUACUUGAACAUAUCUUUAUAUUAUAUAUGGACAAAAAUCAAGCUUAAUUUUAUAUAGCCAGCCUAUGAAACCCAUUUAAAAUGUAUCAUUUAUUGAAUGAUACAAGGAAAACUGACAGUAUUAUCCAACUUACUACUACUAAAGCCACAGAAAUCUACUGCUGAACAUAGGCAUCCCCCAAGCCUCGCCUCUAUCCAUCAUUGCUUGUAAAUUAUAUAACACAAAGUACAACAA